UACGUAGGGCGCAAGCGUUGUCCGGAUUUAUUGGGGUUAAAGGGUGCGUAGGCGGCUUUGUAAGUCAGUGGUGAAAUAUGGCAGCUUAACUGUCAAGGUGCCAUUGAUACUGCGGAGCUUGAGUACAGAUGAGGUAGGCGGAAUUGACGGUGUAGCGGUGAAAUGCUUAGAUAUCGUCAAGAACACCUAUAGCGAAGGCAGCUUACUAGGCUGUAACUGACGCUGAGGCACGAAAGUGUGGGGAUCAAACAGG
rnacentral:rRNA from 1 species